rnacentral:rRNA from 1 species
AGAGUUUGAUCAUGGCUCAGCGCGAACGCUGGCGGCACGCUUUAUACAUGCAAGUCGAGCGGUAACAGAGGAGCUUGCUCCUGCUGACGAGCGGCGAACGGGUGAGUAAUGCAUAGAUAACCUACCGAUAAGUCUGGGAUAGCCUUGCUAACGCGGGGGUAAUACCGGAUGUGAAUAUAUUUAGGCAUCUAAAUAUAUUUAAAGAUUUUAUCGCUUAUUGAUGGGUCUAUGUGACAUCAGCUAGUUGGUGAGGUAAAUGCUCACCAAGGCUACGACGUCUAGCCGACCUGAGAGGGUGAUCGGCCACAUCGGGACUGAGAUACGGCCCGGACUCCUACGGGAGGCAGCAGUAGGGAAUUUUGGGCAAUGGACGCAAGUCUGACCCAGCGAUGCCGUGUGUGGGAAGACGCCUUGCGGGGUGUAAACCACUGUCAAUGGUGAAUAAGUAAGUGAAGGUAGCCAUAGAGGAAGCACCGGCUAACUCCGUGCCAGCAGCCGCGGUAAUACGGAGGGUGCAAGCGUUGCGCGGAAUUACUGGGCGUACAGGGUCCGUAGGCGGUUUAUUAAGUCAGUCUUUAAAGACCGCAGCUCAACUGCGGGAAAGGGAUUGAUACUGAUAAACUAGAGUGUGAGAGGGGAAUUUGGAAUUACGGGGAGUAGCGGUGGAAUGCGUAGAUACCCGUAAGAACGCCGAAAGGCGAAGGCAGAAUUCUGGGCUCAUUACUGA